UGCCUCUGAGGUGAUGGCGUGCCACCUUACCCAACCGCCCUCUGGUUACAGACGGCUGAUGACGCCUGACAACUU
rfam:Corchorus olitorius cultivar O-4 contig05010, whole genome shotgun sequence.